GGUUAACCGUAUAGGGGAGCCGAAGGGAAACCGAGUCUUAACUGGGCGUUAAGUUGCAGGGUAUAGACCCGAAACCCGGUGAUCUAGCCAUGGGCAGGUUGAAGGUUGGGUAACACUAACUGGAGGACCGAACCGACUAAUGUUGAAAAAUUAGCGGAUGACUUGUGGCUGGGGGUGAAAGGCCAAUCAAACCGGGAGAUAGCUGGUUCUCCCCGAAAGCUAUUUAGGUAGCGCCUCGUGAACUCAUCUUCGGGGGUAGAGCACUGUUUCGGCUAGGGGGUCAUCCCGACUUACCAACCCGAUGCAAACUGCGAAUACCGAAGAAUGUUAUCACGGGAGACACACGGCGGGUGCUAACGUCCGUCGUGAAGAGGGAAACAACCCAGACCGCCAGCUAAGGUCCCAAAGUCAUGGUUAAGUGGGAAACGAUGUGGGAAGGCACAGACAGCCAGGAUGUUGGCUUAGAAGCAGCCAUCAUUUAAAGAAAGCGUAAUAGCUCACUGGUCGAGUCGGCCUGCGCGGAAGAUGUAACGGGGCUAAACCAUGCACCGAAGCUGCGGCAGCGACACUAUGUGUUGUUGGGUAGGGGAGCGUUCUGUAAGCCGUUGAAGGUGUGCUGUGAGGCAUGCUGGAGGUAUCAGAAGUGCGAAUGCUGACAUAAGUAACGAUAAUGCGGGUGAAAAACCCGCACGCCGGAAGACCAAGGGUUCCUGUCCAACGUUAAUCGGGGCAGGGUGAGUCGACCCCUAAGGCGAGGCCGAAAGGCGUAGUCGAUGGGAAACAGGUUAAUAUUCCUGUACUUGGUGUUACUGCGAAGGGGGGACGGAGAAGGCUAUGUUAGCCGGGCGACGGUUGUCCCGGUUUAAGCAUGUAGGCGGAGGUUCCAGGUAAAUCCGGUACCUUUUUAACGCUGAGGUGUGAUGACGAGGCACUACGGUGCUGAAGUAACAAAUGCCCUGCUUCCAGGAAAAGCCUCUAAGCAUCAGGUAACACGAAAUCGUACCCCAAACCGACACAGGUGGUCAGGUAGAGAAUACCAAGGCGCUUGAGAGAACUCGGGUGAAGGAACUAGGCAAAAUGGUGCCGUAACUUCGGGAGAAGGCACGCUGAUAUGUAGGUGAAGCGGUUUACCCGUGGAGCUGAAAUCAGUCGAAGAUACCAGCUGGCUGCAACUGUUUAUUAAAAACACAGCACUGUGCAAACACGAAAGUGGACGUAUACGGUGUGACGCCUGCCCGGUGCCGGAAGGUUAAUUGAUGGGGUUAUCCGUAAGGAGAAGCUCUUGAUCGAAGCCCCGGUAAACGGCGGCCGUAACUAUAACGGUCCUAAGGUAGCGAAAUUCCUUGUCGGGUAAGUUCCGACCUGCACGAAUGGCGUAAUGAUGGCCAGGCUGUCUCCACCCGAGACUCAGUGAAAUUGAACUCGCUGUGAAGAUGCAGUGUACCCGCGGCAAGACGGAAAGACCCCGUGAACCUUUACUAUAGCUUGACACUGAACACUGGUCCUUGAUGUGUAGGAUAGGUGGGAGGCUUUGAAGUGUGGACGCCAGUCUGCAUGGAGCCAUCCUUGAAAUACCACCCUUUAAUGGCUGGUGUUCUAACGUGGACCCGUAAUCCGGGUUGCGGACAGUGUCUGGUGGGUAGUUUGACUGGGGCGGUCUCCUCCUAAAGAGUAACGGAGGAGCACGAAGGUUAGCUAAUCCUGGUCGGACAUCAGGAGGUUAGUGCAAAGGCAUAAGCUAGCUUGACUGCGAGAGUGACGGCUCGAGCAGGUGCGAAAGCAGGUCUUAGUGAUCCGGUGGUUCUGAAUGGAAGGGCCAUCGCUCAACGGAUAAAAGGUACUCCGGGGAUAACAGGCUGAUACCGCCCAAGAGUUCAUAUCGACGGCGGUGUUUGGCACCUCGAUGUCGGCUCAUCACAUCCUGGGGCUGAAGUAGGUCCCAAGGGUAUGGCUGUUCGCCAUUUAAAGUGGUACGCGAGCUGGGUUUAGAACGUCGUGAGACAGUUCGGUCCCUAUCUGCCGUGGGCGCUGGAGAAUUGAGGGGGGCUGCUCCUAGUACGAGAGGACCGGAGUGGACGCAUCACUGGUGUUCGGGUUGUCAUGCCAAUGGCAUUGCCCGGUAGCUAAAUGCGGAAGAGAUAAGUGCUGAAAGCAUCUAAGCACGAAACUUGCCCCGAGAUGAGUUCUCCCUGAGACU
rnacentral:rRNA from 1 species